CCUAUGGGGGGCAGCAGGCGCGAAACCUCCGCAAUGCGAGCAAUCGCGACGGGGGGACCCCAAGUGCCACUCUUAACGGGGUGGCUUUUCUUAAGUGUAAAAAGCUUUUGGAAUAAGGGCUGGGCAAGACCGGUGCCAGCCGCCGCGGUAACACCGGCAGCUCUAGUGGUAGCCAUUUUUAUUGGGCCUAAAGCGUUCGUAGCCGGUUUGAUAAGUCUCUGGUGAAAUCCUAUAGCUUAACUGUGGGACUUGCUGGAGAUACUAUUAGACUUGAGGUCGGGAGAGGUUAGCGGUACUCCCAGGGUAGGGGUGAAAUCCUGUAAUCCUGGGAGGACCACCUGUGGCGAAGGCGGCUAACUGGAACGAACCUGACGGUGAGGGACGAAAGCCAGGGGCGCGAACCGGAUUAGAUACCCGUGUAGUCC
rnacentral:rRNA from 1 species